GACGAACGCUGGCGGCGUGCCUGACACAUGCAAGUCGGACGGUUCUUGCACCUUCAAGCUUGCUUGCUGGUGCAGGGAUAGUGGCGGACGGGUGAGUAACGCGUGAACAUCUACCCAUUGGAGGGGGACAACCCGUCGAAAGGCGGGCUAAUACCGCGUAAGCCGUGAGGUGAGAGGCUGCCUAUUGGUGGCCGCCGAUGGAUGGGUUCGCGUCCUAUCAGCUGGUUGGUGGGGUAACGGCCUACCAAGGCGAAGACGGGUAGCCGGUCUGAGAGGGUGAACGGCCACACUGGAACUGAGAUACGGUCCAGACUCCUACGGGAGGCAGCAGUGGGGAAUAUUGGGCAAUGGGGGCAACCCUGACCCAGCGACGCCGCGUGAGGGAAGACGGCCUUCGGGUUGUAACCUACUUUUGUUACGGGUAAGAAGGAAGUGACGGUACUGUACGAAUAAGUACCCGGCUAACUACGUGCCAGCAGCCGCGGUAAACGUAGACGUG
rnacentral:rRNA from 1 species